UACGGAGGGUGCAAGCGUUAUCCGGAUUCACUGGGCUUAAAGGGUGCGUAGGCGGGUUGGUAAGUCCGUGGUGAAAUCUCCAAGCUUAACUUGGAAACUGCCGUGGAUACUAUCAAUCUUGAAUAUAGUGGAGGUGAGCGGAAUAUGUCAUGUAGCGGUGAAAUGCGUAGAUAUGACAUAGAACACCCAUUGCGAAGGCAGCUCGCUGCGCUAUUAUUGACGCUGAGGCACGAAAGCGUGGGGAUCAAACAGG
rnacentral:rRNA from 1 species